rnacentral:lncRNA from 11 species
CUCUGAUGGGCUGAUGAAAAGCCACCCCUUUUCCCUUCCAAGAGUCAAUUUUUUGCACCAUAUGAGCGAAAAAUUCCAUUUUCUUUUAAAACUAAGAAGCCCAGUUUGAUUGACAUAUGACCUGUAGACCGCAUGUAGCCAUAUGGUUGGUUAUUGAGCUAAAAGGUCAGCCUAUGGAGGUGUGGUCAUAUUUUUCAGAGAAGCGCACAUGUGCCAAAAGACUUUCUUUUCCAGAAGCAAGAGGAACAAGGAGUAGGAUUAAGUACAUCUAUUGGCACCUUCACCUAACUGCUGGCAUCCACCCGAACCUCAGGAAGACCUGCAGGAGCUUUUUUCCUUGUUGUAGAAGUAUUAAAGUCUAUCCAUUAAAGUAA